UACGGAGGGUGCAAGCGUUGUCCGGAUUCAUUGGGUUUAAAGGGCGCGCAGGCGGGCGAUUACGGCAGGGGUGAAAGACGGUUGCUCAACAAUCGCAGUGCCUUUGAUACUGGUUGUCUUGGGUGACCUUGAGGUAGGCGGAAUGGGUGGUGUAGCGGUGAAAUGCAUAGAUACCACCCAGAACUCCGAUUGCGAAGGCAGCCUACUGGAGGUUCACCGACGCUCAGGCACGAAAGCGUGGGGAUCAAACAGG
rnacentral:rRNA from 1 species